CUUUCACACAUAAAAAUCACGACAGUAUUAAAUGGACUUAAAUGCAGUAGUUUCUUUUCUUUUCUUUUUUCUUCUUCUGUUUUUUUUAUUUUAUUUUUUAUAUAUAUAUGUAAAAAAGGCCCCCUUGUGGCCGCUAAGCAUCAGACACUUUACUGUGACUCUCUCUCUCCUACUGGAAGACGCCUCACUUCACCUGGACUCUUAGCCAAUCACAAGUUGACUCAGGAUCGCUGCACGCUGGUAGCAUUCUGUCUGAGACUUUUGCCAGUAGUGUACGCUAACUGCACGGGCUUACAACCCGCCUUGAUACAACUGCUUUAUUCUGUGUGCGUCUUUACAAGUAAGAAUCGAACCACACCCAUCACUGUACAUAUUCAAUCAUGCAGUUGUAAAUUCAAUAAAUACUGCCAAUGAAGAAAUCUUGCGUGAUUCUGACCGAUCACCCGCUGUGAGCUCUACCUAGCGAUCCACAAACUAUCUAAAUUAAAGAAGCCAGUCCUCUUCUGCACAAUAUAUUAACUGUAUUUUAAAUAUGAGCACAUUUCCAACCCAAUUAAAAACAGGCAUUUGGAGAGUAGAGCAAGAUGUAACAUUCUACUUCAGUGAGUAAUUUUAAGGGUAGGUUUAUGUGUGAAAGUUAAUCUAUGUAAAGUAUUUUUUUUUUUUUUUUUGACAGCAUGCCACAAAGUUGUUAGAAGGAACCUGAUAUUAAACAGUAUUUUCAGCAAAAUUUAAACAGUACAAACAAAAGUACAAAUAAAUAAAUAAAACCCAUUGUUUUGGCCUGGGUAAACUGACGUCUCUAUUAUGUCUGAUUUUGAGUCAGAUCUAUAACUACCAGUGUGACAACUCUCACCUAUAUGUUUUAAUUAGCUAUUCAGAUACAGUUCAUUUUAAUAACCUCAGUGUGAAAAUGUGCAUUUCAAAACAUCUACAUAUUAACAAAAAUAAAUAAAUAAAUAAAAUAAUAAAGUAACUGCAACUUCAUGUAAGUGCAUUAAGCAUUAAAAAUAAUUGAACUGACUAUUGACUAGUGAUUAACUAACUUGAAAUGCUCUUGAGAUCAUCGCUGAAAAUGAACAAACCCAUUAAUUACCACCACAGACAAGAGCAAAAGCACUUAACCCAUAAAUGUAUGUCUAUUUUUUUUUUUUUGUCCUUGACUAGUCCUAGAAAGUAUACAGUUAUGAAAUAGCACUUAAGGGACUGUAUAUGAUAUUCACUCAAGCUCAUUAGGCCUAUACAGUGUAAAUGCUAGUGUGUUUAUAAGGAAUAAAAAGUAUGCACAUGUGAAUGAAAGAUGUUGCUGCCUUAAAUCCCUCAACUCGUAUAAUAAUCAUUUAAGGCAGUUGAUCCCAAAGUGAACUAUUCCUUAUGAAAGCAAAUCGUUAUUUACUCUCUCUCACGUUGUUCCAAACAUACAUGACUGUCUAUUUCAAAUGCACCACUGUAUUUAGUGUUAGGGCUUAACUGAUGUCAGUAACAAAUAUCAAUGACCUCAAGCUAAAGCUCUUCUUUUAUGAGCAGAGCUGAAGGCUGCUAAAACGUUAAUCAAUGAACUCUUCAUUAGAGACUGAGCUCAGUCAAUACAUGGAUACAGCUGAACACUUAAUCAAAUGAAUUGAUCAUUGCAAUUAGGUGUGCUCUUAGCUUUAGAUUUGUUAAUUGCAUUGGAUCUUAUUUACUUUCAGAAUAUAAAAUAACGCAAUUAAGUCUAAUUACGUGUCUUUUUAUCUUAAGUAUAGGCCUAUAUUCUGGUGAUUUGGUGCCCAUCUGAAGUUCCCAGCAAACAGUCGGUUCAGAUUAAAUGUCAGAUUUUGUUGGCAGAUGGAUCUGUGGCUCCCUCUAGUGUCGAUCAACACACACUGUUUACAUGCCCUUAAACUUCAACAUUUUUUGAUCGCGAUUUGAAUGAAUAAUAAUAAUAAAUAAAUAACAUAAUUCACCUCGCGUUGUUCUAAACCUGUAUGAGUUUAUUCUAUUUCCUGUAACCAAUACAUUUAAAUUUUGCAACCAACACAUUAGAUGAUGUUGAAUAUUUUAUGCUUACCAAGUUCAAGCUUUACAAGAAGUAUACAGCUAAUGUUUUGAAACGUUAUUGCAUUGCAAAGUUAUUGUAAUAUAUUAAAUUGUUUUUUUUUUCUAUUUUAUAUAUAAAAACAACAACAAAAACAUUAAAUAUACUUUUUUUUUUAAUGCUAGUAUUUAAUUUCACCUCAAAAUGUAAUUUAUUCUUAAGUAAAACUGUUUUGUAGUGUUAUGAAUUAA
rnacentral:lncRNA from 1 species